rnacentral:rRNA from 1 species
UACAGAGGUCCCGAGCGUUGUUCGGAUUCACUGGGCGUAAAGGGUGCGUAGGUGGCGUGGUAAGUUUGAUGUGAAAGCUCAGGGCUUAACCCUGAAAUGGCAUUGAAUUCUACUGUGCUGGAGGUUUGGAGGGGGGACUGGAAUUCUUGGUGUAGCAGUGAAAUGCGUAGAUAUCAAGAGGAACACCAGUGGCGAAGGCGAGUCCCUGGACAACACCUGACACUGAGGCACGAAAGCCGGGGGAGCAAACAGG